rnacentral:rRNA from 1 species
UACAGGGGGUGCAAACGUUGCUCGGAAUCAUUGGGCGUAAAGCGCACGUAGGCGGUUCGUUAUGUCGGAUGUGAAAGCCCUUGGCUUAACCGAGGAAGUGCAUCCGAAACUGGCGAGCUAGAGUACGAAAGAGGAUCGCGGAAUUCCCGGUGUAGAGGUGAAAUGCGUAGAUAUGCGGAGGAACACCGAUGGCGAAGGCAGUCCCCUGGACCUGUACUGACGCUCAUGCACGAAAGCGUGGGGAGCAAACAGG